GUGUGCGGCCCAUCAGGCCCAUUGAACGCGCGACUGCCUUCAGCGUAGCUGGUGGCUACCCCCUUCGUUGCUUCUUCCCUCUUCCCUGCCAGCCUGAUGGCGGCGCGGGGUCUGCAAGAGCCACCGAGCCGAGAACGUGGAGCGACGAGCGAGUCAGCCUGCACAGCCAGGACACCGGGAUGGAGUGCCGUGCGUGGAGGAAGAAGGAUGUGUCGUGUCGCGCGGUGCUUGCUGCGCCGAUGCGGGGAGGGAGUCGGGAGCGCCUUCCCCAUCGGGCAUUGGCCACUCGACCGGUCCAUGGUGCGCGUGCCGGCGAUCAACGUGCGCCAUGUGCGAACUGCAGAGGCUGAGGCACCGGCCGCCGAGCCGCUACCUGGCUGCUGCACCAGGGAGUGUCGUGAGGACCGAGGUUGUGGGCAACGACGAAAAAUAAAGAAGCUAAUGGGUACAGACACAAGACAUUUUUAUAUUGGGACUCGAUCAACUUGGUGUUUGGGAAAGAUCAUGCAACCGGUGAAGCGGCAAAGACCCCAGCUGAUGGUGCGAGAGAUAUGAGUAAGGAAGAGGGAACCGGUAAAGAGCUUACUUCAUCAACAACCUCAGGAAGCUUGAAGAGGCAACGUUCCAGUGAUUCCUUCACCUCAAUGAUGGCGGAGAAAUUAGACAAGUUCACUGAAGCUAUUAGGGAUGAAGCACCAAAAGGCCCGACAUCAAAAGAAAUUUUUAGCACAUUGGAGGAGAUAGAUGGGUUAGAUGAAGACACAUUUUUAGACUUGUUUGAUAUCUUAACAGGUGAUGCGCGCAAGUACGAGUCCUUAUUGGCACUUCCAUUGAUUCUGAGGAAGAGAUGGCUGUUGAAGCAACUUAAAAAGUGAACCGAUUUGUGGUUGGGUGAAUUGAACUGGUGUUGGGUGUGUUGAUGUUGUUGUCUUAGUUUAUGUUGGGUGAAUUGAACAUCACAUUGAGUAGCAAGUAAUGUGUUCCAAUGAUAUGUGGACAUUUGAG